GGCAACAUGUCCGAGUGGUUAAGGAGCCAGACUUGAAUUGAAAAGUUUCCCCAUCUGGUGGCUUCGGCCGCGUAGGUUCGAACCCUGCUGUUGUCG
rfam:Colletotrichum sublineola strain TX430BB Scaffolds0633.1, whole genome shotgun sequence.